rnacentral:rRNA from 1 species
UACGUAGGGGGCUAGCGUUGUCCGGAUUUAUUGGGCGUAAAGAGCGUGUAGGCGGCCAGGUAGGUCUGCUGUGAAAACUCGAGGCUCAACCUCGAGACGUCGGCGGAAACCAUCUGGCUAGAGUCCGGAAGAGGAGAGUGGAAUUCCUGGUGUAGCGGUGAAAUGCGCAGAUAUCAGGAAGACCAGUGGCGAAGGCGGGUCUCUGGACAGUUCCUGACGCUGAGGCACGAAGGCCAGGGGAGCAAACGGG